UACUACUGACUACUACUGAUACUACUACUGAUGGUAAGACGUUAAAGAAACCUAGUACAUUAGCAAAGCUUGAUAUUUAAGGAUCAUAGAAUAGGAAUAUGCUAUUGUCCUACUGCAAAAAAGUUUGACAGUCAGUAGGGUUAAAAUUAUAGGUAAUGCAGGAAAUAAAUAAAUAAAAAUUAAUUUAUUAAAUUCCUUCCCUUUGGGGCUUUUGAUGAGUCAUACUUUCCAGUAGUUAUUCAGCCCAUGGAUAAUGCAUUAUGAAGUGUUAAAUAUAUUGACAUCUGAGAUUUUGCAUACUUCACUUAAAUGGUGGAGGUGCAUGUGCAGGCUUGACAAAGUGAAUUGUCCCUUUGCCUGUAAUUUUUAAUUACACAUAUUUUUGAUAGGAAUUUUUAUUGCAUUUGUUGCACUCCACCAUCUCUAUUAAUGAUUAAUGCCGGUUUGUUGAACUCUGCCAAGUUUUUUUUCCUACUGGAGACUCAAGAAUUUUCUGUUUGCGCGUCAUGUUGGGAGGCCUCCCAGCAGGGGGAUUUAACCCACCCCUGUAAAAAACCAUGCGUCACUCGAAGGGUCGUCAAAUACUCACUGCAAUGACAAUUUGCACAGUUUCACACAUGGUAUUGUCAUCACUUGGUAGGCGGGGGUACAAGAUAGAAGCGCGUUUGUGUUUCCUUGGAGGAAGCAAACUUGGCAGACGGACAAUUUUUAUUUAUUUUCUAUUUUUUUACCAUCUAUUGGUGGUGAGGUAAUCGAUGAUAAUCAAGAGUAUCGGGUUGAAUCCAACUUUUACUAUCUUCUUCAGUUACCUGCUUUUGAUGCAGUAUCAUUUGAAGCAUUACUGUGGGCUGAAUUUCAAAGGUCUAGAUAGUCAAAGGCAUAUGUUUAGUUUUGAAUAGAAUGCAUUAUAUCACUCCAAUAUUUAUGGAACUUUGAUUUGAAAAAAUGUAAAACUUAUUUUCCCAUGUUGAAGUUUGUAGUGCAGUUAAAGGGAUUUAUUUUCCCCCAGUAUUCGUCAGGGUGGCCCCCCAGAUUAAAAGCCUAUUCGUACCAAGUUGGCUGUUUGACAAUCUUAGCAGCAUACUUUAUAAUCCUAAAUGUUAAAUAAAAAAAAAAAGUUAUAGGGAAUUCAGCUUUUAUUGAAACAGUGUAGCUAUAGGGCUGGCAGAGGUAGGGGAUCGAUGGCAUCCAGCUAUGGGCCCAGGCUGGAUUCCACCCAAGGCUGCUAUGGUAAGAAAGCCUGCAUCAUAUACACAGGUGAGCUACUGGUGCACUGGCAUGAUAAAUUCCAAGAAAAAUUCUAAAUGCCUGAUUUUUCUCUUUGCUGAAUUGGUGCAGAGCACACGGCCCGAUGGUGAUAAAGGCCAUGGAAGGUUCAGGUUCCCCUGCCACCAGGAAAAUCUACUUGGGAGGUGAUGGAGGCCAUGGAAGGUUCCGGUUCCUCUGCCACCAGGAAAAUCUACUUGGGACCCUGUGACCCAGAGAUGCCCCGUCCACAUUGCAGGCUCAAAGCCAAGCGGUACUUCUCCUGUCUCGAUGAUACCCCUUUGCCAUGGGAUGUCUUCAGAUUUCAACCUUUUGGGACCUGUGAGACCUGAACUUGUCAAGCCCUGCACACUAUCUUAUAUGCAGACCUCGCUUCUGAACCACUGCUGCAUGUCGGCAAACCACCCGACUUGAUAAACUGUUCUACGGACUUGAACACAAACCCCAAGGCUCAUUCUGCACACCCCACUCUGCUCACCCAACAUCAUGCUCUACCAAAAUCUAGCACCACCACUGGACUGACAAAAAGCAGCCAACUUGAAAUGGUUGACCCUAAUUUGCUUAAAUGUUUGAACAAACUACUUGAGGGUGUAUAAUGCAAUCCUUCGGUUUGUGACGCGCAGAUUGUGUCCAAAGGUUCACAAACAGUUGGGUUUUGUCCAUAGAAACGUGCAUGCACUCUUGCAUUCCCUAAUUUCAUAUUUGUACAUUUGAGAAAAAUUGGUUGGGGUUUAAUGAGCUGGGUCUCCUUAGCAUUACAGAGAAUGAGGUCGACUCAAUAGAUGGUAAGGAUUUUAUCCUUCCCCUUAUUCUCUGUAUGUGAGGAAAUCUGGCCAUGAAUCCUUACUGAAUUGUGUACCAUGGUUGUGCAGUUUCCAAAACUAGACUUGGAUCCAUCUAGUUUUGUGAAUCAGCUCACCAAUGGUAUGCAACAAGUCCCCAUUAUGGAGAAGUAAACAUUGUGCGGAGUUAAGGUCUGCAUGUAUGUAUAUUAUGUUUAUACAUUUGCGUUCGAACGACAAUAGGACAUUGAAUAUCUGACAAAAAUGUUCCCACUAAAGAUUAAAACCAAACGUUCAGUUAAGUCCCAUUAUUUCACGCCUUCUCCUUGUUUAAUGGCAAUUUAUCCCCAUAAUUCCUCCAUCUAGACUAUAAUUUUUUUCAGAUGAGCCUACAUACAUAUAAUAUAAUAUAAUAUAAUAUAAUAUAAAUACUCCUGCUGGUCACUUAUGUAGAUGCAAGGGGGCAGUAAAGUGUCUGUCACAGCUUAGUGCCAUGGAAGGUUCAGGUUCCUCUGCCACCAGGAAAAUCUACUUGGGACCCUGUUACCCAGAGAUGCCCCGUCCACAUUGCAGUUUCAAAGCAUAGCGUUACUCCUCCUGUCUCGAUGAUACCCCUUUGCCAUGGGAUGUCGUCUUCAGAUUUCAACCUUUUGGGAGCUGUGAGACCUGAAGUUGUCAAGCCCUGCACACUAUCUUAUAUGCAGACCUCGCUUCUGAACCACUGCUGCAUGUCGGCAAACCACCCGACUUGAUAAACUGUUCUACAGACUUGAACACAAACCCCAAGGCUCAUUCUGCACACCCCACUCUGCUCACUUAACAUUAUGCUCACCUAACAUCAUGCUCUACCAAAAUCUAGCACCACCACUGGACUGACAAAAAGCAGCCAACUUGAAAUGGUUGAUCCUAAUUUGGUUAAAUGUUUGAACAAACUACUUGAGGGUGUAUAAUGCAAUCCUUCGGUUUGUGACGCGUUGGAUUGUGUCCAAUGGUUCACAAACUGUUGGGUUUUGUCCAUAGAAACAUGCAUGUGCUCUUGCAUGCCCUAAUUUCAUAUUUGUACAUUUGAGAAAAAUUGGUUGGGGUUUAAUGAGCUGGGUCUCCUUAGCAUUACAGAGAACAAGAUCAACAAGUCGACUCAAUAGAUGGUAAGGAUUUUAUCCUUCCCCUUAUUCUCUGUAUGUGAGGAAAUCUGGCCAUGAAUCCUCACUGAAUUGUGUACCAUGGCUGUGCAGUUUCCAAAACUAGACUUGGAUCCAUCUAGUUUUGUGAAUCAGCUCACCAAUGGUAUGCAACAAGUCCCCAUUAUGGAGAAGUAAACAUGGUGCGGAGUUAAGGUCUGCAUGUAUGUUUAUUAUAUGUAUAUACAUUUGCAUUCGAAUGACAAUAGGACAUUGAAUAUCUGACAAAAAUGUUCCCACUAAAGAUUAAAACCAAACAUUCAGUUAAAUCCUAUUAUUUCACGCCUUCUCCUUCUUGUUUAAUGGCAAUUUAUCCCCAUAAUUCCUCCAUAUAGACUAUAAUUUUUUUCAGAUGAACCCACAUACAUAUAAUAUAAUAUAAUAUAAUAUAAUAUAAUAUAAAUACACCUGCUGGUCACUUAUGUAGAUGCAAGGGGGCAGUAAAGUGUCUGUCACAGCUUAGUGCCAUGGAAGGUUCCGGUUCCUCUGCCACCAGGAAAAUCUACUUGGGACCCUGUGACCCAGAGAUGCCCCGUCCACAUUGCAGUGUCAAAGCAUAGUGGUACUCCUCCUGUCUCGAUGAUACCCCUUUGCCAUGGGAUGUUGUCUUCAGGAUUUCAACCUUUUGGGACCUGUGAGACCUGAAGUUGUCAAGCCCUGCACACUAUCUUAUAUGCAGACCUCACUUCUGAGCCACUGCUGCAUGUCGGCAAACCACCCGACUUGAUAAACUGUUCUACGGACUUGAACACAAACCCUAAGGCUCAUUCUGCACACACCACUCUUAUCACCCAACAUCAUGCUCUACCAAAAUCUAGCACCACCACUGGACUGACAAAAGCAGACAACUUGAAAUGGUUGAUCCUAAUUAGCUUAAAUGUUUGAACAAACUACUUGAGGGUGUAUAAUGCAAUCCUUCGGUUUGUGACGCGUUGGAUUGUGUCCAAUGGUUCACAAACUGUUGGGUUUUGUCCAUAGAAACAUGCAUGUGCUCUUGCAUGUCCUAAUUUCAUAUUUAUACAUUUGAGAAAAAUCGGUUGGGGUUUAUUGAGCUGGGUCUCCUUAGCAUUACAGAGAACAAGGUCAACGAGUCGACUCAAUAGAUGGUAAGGAUUUUAUCCUUCCCCUUAUUCUCUGUAUGUGAGGAAAUCUGGCCAUGAAUCGGCACUGAAUUGUGUACCAUGGUUGUGCAGUUUCCAAAACUAGACUUGGAUCCAUCUAGUUUUGUGAAUCAGCUCACCAAUGGUAUGCAACAAGUCCCCAUUAUGGAGAAGUAAACAUUUGUUUGCUAAAACAAAUAAGCUACGGUCAAACGUGAGAAAAUGGGCAUACACUGCCACUUCUUUAGAGCUUUUCCUGUUGUGAAAACGUGUAGACAUCUUUUUGGUUUUGGUUUGUCAAAAGCUUGUUUUACGCGUGUAAAAACUAAAACAAAACAUUCUUGCUUUUGAAAGCAGAUGUAUAGAAUAACUACUAAAGGUACAAUAGGUAAGAAAUGUUAUAUACAGUGUAAACAAAUACAUUUUUGGUCUGUUUGCCUUCUAUUAAUCCAUCUGAUAAAU